GCCGGGGUGGCCGACUGGUUGGUAAGGCAUGAGUGUGUACUCAAAGGGGUUCGACCCCGAUGCAGGUUCGAUUCCUGCCCCCGGAC
rfam:Caenorhabditis tropicalis strain JT1373 unplaced genomic scaffold Scaffold36, whole genome shotgun sequence.